UACGUAGGGGGGCAAGCGUUGUCCGGAUUUAUUGGGCGUAAAGAGCGUGUAGGCGGCUGGGUAGGUCCGUUGUGAAAACUCGAGGCUCAACCUCGAGACGCCGAUGGAAACCCUCCAGCUAGAGUCCGGAAGAGGAGAGUGGAAUUCCUGGUGUAGCGGUGAAAUGCGCAGAUAUCAGGAAGAACACCCGUGGCUAAGGCGGCUCUCUAGUACGGUACUGACGCUGAGGCGCGAAAGCGUGGGGAGCAAACAGG
rnacentral:rRNA from 1 species